rnacentral:rRNA from 1 species
ACAACUUUUAACAACAGAUCUCUUAGUUCUAGUAUUAAUAAAGAAUACAGCAAAAUGCGAUAAGUAGUGUAAAUUGCAGAAUUUAGUAAAUUAUUAAAUCUUUAAACGCACAUUGCGCCCCUUAGUAUUCUAUAGGGCAUGCCUGUUUAAGCGUUAUUUGUACCCUUAAGCUCUACUUAGUGUUAGGUGUUUGUUCUACUUAGGACUCGCCUUAAAACAAUUGGCAGCUAGCAUAUUAGCCUAGAGCGCAGCACAUUUUACGCCUCUUGUUAUAGUUAUUAGUAUCUAUUAAGACACUUUUUAAGCUCUUAACCUUAGAUUAGGUAGGGAUACCCACUAAACUUAAGCAUAUUAAUAAGCAGAGGAAAAGAAACUAACAGGGAUUGCCCUAGUAACAGCGAGUGAAGCGGCAACAGCUUAAAUUUAAAAUCUAGCUCUUUUAGGGUCCAAGUUGUAAUUUACAGAGGGCGCUUUAGCAUUAGUAGCAGUCCAAGUUCCUUAGAAUAGGACGUUAUAGAGGGUAAGAAUCCUAUACGUAGUCGCUAGCCUUCACUGUGUAAAGCCCCUUUAACAAGUCAAGUUAUUUAGGAAUAUAGCUCUAAAUAGGAGGUAAAUUUCUUCUAAAGCUAAAUACUAGCCAGAGACUAAUAGCGCACAAGUAAAGUAAUUAAAAGAUAAAAAGCACUUUAGAAAGAGAGUUAAAUAGCACGUAAAAUUGUUAAAAGGGAAGCGCUUGCAGCUAGACUUGCCUAUAGUUGCUUAUCUAGGCUUUUAUCUAGUGCACUCUUCUAUAGGCAGGCUAGCAUUAGUUUAGGCAGUUAGAUAAAGGUCUCUAUUACGUACCUCCCUUUAGGGAGGCCUUAUAGGGGAGACGACAUGCAACCAGCCUAGACUAAGGUCCGCGCAUCUACUAGGAUGCUAGCGUAAUAGCUGUAAGCGGCCUAUCUUAAAACAUAGACUAAGGAGUCUAAUAUCUAUGCAAGUGUUUAGGUGUUAAGCCUAGACGCGUAAUAAAAGUAAACAGAGGUAGGAACCCUUUUAGGGUGCACUAUUAACCAAUCCUAAUAUCUUUAGAAGGAUUUAAGUAAGAGUAUAGCUAUUAGGACCUAAAAGAUAGUAAACUAUGCUUAAAUAGGGUAAAGCUAGAGGAAACUCUAGUAGAGGCUCGCAGUAGUUCUAACGUGCAAAUUAAUUGUUAAAUUUAGGCAUAGGGGCAAAAGACUAAUCAAACUAUCUAGUAGCUAGUUCCUGCUAAAGUUUCCCUUAGGAUAGUAGUAACGUAUUUAGUUUUAUAAGGUAAAGCAAAUAAUUAGAGGCCUAGGGGUUAAAAUAACCUUUACCUAUUCUUAAACUUUAAAUAUAUAAGAAGUCCUUAUUACUUAAUUAAACGUAGACACUUAAAUGUACUAUUACUAGUAGGCUAUUUUUAGUAAGUAGAACUAGCGAUGCAGGAUAAACUAAACGCAGGGUUAAGGUGCUAGAAUGCACGCUUAUUAGACACUAUAAAAGGUGUUAGUUUAUCUAGAUAGUAGGAUAGUAGCUAUAGAAGUUAGAAUCUGCUAAGGAGUGUGUAAUAACUCACCUGCUAAAUAAACUAGCCCUAAAAAUAGAUGGCGCUUAAGCGUGUUACCUAUACCCCGCCGCUAGGGCAAGAUUUAAGCCCUAGCAAGUAGGCAGGCGUAGAGGCUCGUGACAAAGCCUUAGGGGUAACCCUAGGUAGAACGGCCUCUAGUGUAGAUCUUAGUAGUAGUAGCAAAUACUUAAAUAAGAACUUUAAGGACUAAAGUAGGGAAAGGUUCUAUAUAAAUAGUAGUUAGACACAGGUUAGUUAAUCCUAAGAGAUAGGGUAAUUCUAUUUUAAUAUUAGUGCUUACGCUGCGCCCUUAAAAGGGAAGCUAGUUAAUAUUCCAGCACCUAGAUAUAGAUUCUCCGCGGCAACGUAACUAAGAGCGGAGACCUUAGCGGGAGCCCUAAGAAGAGUUCUCUUUUCUUCUUAACAGUCUGUUACCCUAAAAUCAGUUUGUCUAGAGCUAGGGUUUAAUAGCUAGAAGAGCGCUGCACUUUUGUAGUAUUUAGUGCGCUCCUAAUAAGCCUUAAAAAUCUACUUAAAGAAAUAGUUUUUACGCUAGGUCGUACUUAUAACCAUAGCAGGUCUCUAAGGUAAAAAGCCUCUAGUUAAUAGAACAAUGUAGAUAAGGGAAGUUAGCAAAAUAGAUCUAUAACUUUAGGAAAAGGAUUAGCUCUAAGGGUUAGGUACGUUAGGCCUUAGGGAGAAGCCUCUAGCGCAGAAGGGCACUAACCGCAAGGUAGGCGCCUCUUAGCGCUAGGGUGCAGACACCCUUAGCAGGUUUUAGCCGUCUAGCGUACGUUUAACAACUAACUUAGAACUAGUAUAGAUAAGGGGAAUCUAACUAUCUAAUUAAAACAUAGUAUUAUAAUAGCUAGAAAGUAGUGUUAAUAUAAUAUAAUUUCUGCCUAGUGCUCUAAAUAUUAAAGCAAAGAGAUUUGACUAAGCGCGGGUAAACAGCGGGAGUAACUAUAACUCUCUUAAGGUAGCUAAAUACCUUGUUAUCUAAUUAGUGACGCGCAUAAAUAGAUUAACGAGAUUCCUACUAUCUCUAUCUACUAUCUAGCAAAACUAUAGCUAAGGGAACAGGCUUAGCUAAAUUAGCGGGGAAAGAAGACCCUAUUAAGCUUAACUCUAGUUUAACAUUAUAAAAAGAUAUAGGGGGUGUAGAAUAGGUAGGAGCUUUGGCGCUAGUAAAAUACUACUACCCUUAUUGUUUUUUUACUUAUUUAAUAAAGCAGAGCUAGGCCUUACUACCUAACUUCUAGCGUUUAAGGUCCUUUAUAGGCUAAUUUAGGUUAAAGACAUUGUUAGGUAGAGAGUUUAGCUAGGGCGGCACAUCUAUUAAACUAUAACGCAGGUAUCCUAAGGGGGACUUAUAGAGAAUAGAAAUCUCUAGUAGAGCAAAAGGGUAAAAGUCCCCUUAAUUUUGAUUUUUAGUGUAAAUACAAACUAUAAAAGUGUAGCCUAUUAAUCCUUUAGUCCCUUAAAAUUUAAGGCUAGAGGUGCUAGAAAAGUUACCACAGGGAUAACUAGCUUGUGGCAGCCAAGCGUUCAUAGCGACGUUGCUUUUUGAUCCUUCGAUAUUAGCUCUUCCUAUCAUACCAAAGCAGAAUUUGGUAAGCGUUAGAUUGUUCACCCACUAAUAGGGAACGUAAGCUAGGUUUAGACUGUCGUAAGAUAGGUUAGUUUUACCCUACUAAUAACCUUGCCCUAAUAGUAAUACCGCUUAGUACAAGAGGAACUGCGGUUUUAGAUAAUUAGUUUUUGCGGCUGUCUAACUAGGCAUUGCCGUGAAGCUACUAUCUACUAGAUUAUAGCUAAACGCCUCUAAGUUAGAAUCUAUGCUAGAAUAGGGUAAUUUCCGCCUGCACUAGUUAGAUACAAAUAGGCCUUUAGCCUAGAACCUUACUAGAUUAGCGUUAGCAGCCCUAUUAAAGUUAGGGUUGUUAGCUAGUGUAUUGCAAUUAUACAGUGCGCAGGAU